rnacentral:rRNA from 1 species
UGAGGAAUAUUGGACAAUGGAGGCAACUCUGAUCCAGCCAUGCCGCGUGCAGGAAGAAUGCCCUAUGGGUUGUAAACUGCUUUUAUUUAGGAAGAAACCCCCCAACGUGUUGGGGGCUGACGGUACUAAACGAAUAAGGACCGGCUAACUCCGUGCCAGCAGCCGCGGUAAUACGGAGGGUCCAAGCGUUAUCCGGAAUCAGUGGGUUUAAAGGGUCCGCAGGCGGACUAUUAAGUCAGUGGUGAAAUCUCUGUGCUUAACCAAGAAAUUGCCAUUGAAACUACUAGUCUUGAAUUCGGUCGAAGUGGGCGGAAUGUGUCAUGUAGCGGUGAAAUGCAUAGAUAUGACACAGAACACCGAUAGCGAAGGCAGCUCACUAGGCCUGAAUUGACGCUCAGGGACGAAAGCGUGGGGAGCGAACAG